GCUAGGCAUGGUGGCCCAUGCCUGUAAUCCCAGUAGCUCUGGAGGCUGAGGCAGGAGGGUCGAAAGUUCAAAGCCAGCCAUCCCAAUGAUGAGGUGCUAAGGCAACCCAGAGAGACCCUGUUUCUA
rnacentral:sRNA from 1 species